rnacentral:piRNA from 2 species
UGUGCUAAAAAUAUCCAUUCUAAGAUAU